rnacentral:rRNA from 1 species
CCUACGAGGGGCUGCAGUGGGGAAUAUUGGACAAUGGGGGGAACCCUGAUCCAGCCAUGCCGCGUGUGUGAAGAAGGCCCUCGGGUUGUAAAGCACUUUCAGUGAGGAAGAACGCCUGGUGGUUAAUACCCAUCAGGAAAGAUAUCACUCACAGAAGAAGCACCGGCUAACUCCGUGCCAGCAGCCGCGGUAAUACGGAGGGUGCGAGCGUUAAUCGGAAUUACUGGGCGUAAAGCGCGCGUAGGUGGCUUGAUAAGCCGGUUGUGAAAGCCCCGGGCUCAACCUGGGAACGGCAUCCGGAACUGUCAAGCUAGAGUGCAGGAGAGGAAGGUAGAAUUCCCGGUGUAGCGGUGAAAUGCGUAGAGAUCGGGAGGAAUACCAGUGACGAAGGCGGCCUUCUGGACUGACACUGACACUGAGGUGCGAAAGCGUGGGUAGCAAACAGGAUUAGAUACCCUUGUAGUC